rnacentral:lncRNA from 1 species
AGAAGGGCAAAUCCUAAGAAGAAUUUCUGAAAGGAAAAUUCGGAUCCUUUGCAUGCAGACACGUACAGCUUGUUGGGAAGAGCACGCUGUGGCAGCAGGCUGCCAAGUGGUGCCAUCCUGCCACCAGCACGGGGCUGGCAGCUAAGCAUGCGGCAGGUUGGUCCUGCACCCUGCCUGGCUGGACAGCAGCUGGGGUGGAAAGGCAUUUUAAGCCAACACGAUGGCCAUGGGCUGCCUCCUCCAGUAUCUGCCCUUGUUCUCGUGCUCCUAAGCAGUGAGUAUGGCUCCCACCCUAUUUGCUUUCAAAGACUUGUCUUGCUCUAUGCAAUGGUAGAGAGUUUGCUACUGGAAAAAGUUUUGCUCGGGAUGAAUUGCUUUCCACUGUACUCCUUGUCUGUGAAUUCACAGUUCUUAACUUCCCAUGGAAAAGCAGCUUUGUGUGUGCAAUAAGUCUGUCUGAAGGAUGUGGGCUUCAGGGUAUUGCUGCACUUCAGGCUUGAUCAUAUACCAAUCUGGGCUUUUGACAGCUAGGAAGAAUGAUGAAAUAUUGCACAUCCUGUGUUGAGAGUUGCUCAAAUAUAUUUGUGCAAAUGUUGGUUUGUUGUGUUGUGGGUUUGGGGGAUUUGUUUGUUUGUUUUUGUUUUGCUAAGCAUCAGAUAGAAUAGCUUGUUGAAUAACUUCAGUGGCUGCAUCAUAAGUGUGGUCAGCAGGGCAGGAAGGUGCUCCUGCCCUUCUGCUCUGUGCUGUGAGACCUCACCUGGAGCACUGCAUCCAGAUGUGGAGUGCUCAGUACAGGAGAGAUGUGGAGCUGUUGGAGAGUGUCCAGAGAGGGGCCACAAAAAUGAUCCCAGGGAUGGAACAUCCCUCUGUAAGGACAGGCUGAGAGCUGGGACUGUACAGCAUGGAGAAGGCUCCAGGGAGUCCUGAGAGCAGCCUGUCAGUAUCUGAAGAUGGGUAUAACAAAGAAAGGGGACAUACUCGUUAGCACGGUCUGUUGUUAUAAGACAAGGGGAAAUGGUUUCAAAGCAGAAGAAGGGAGAUUAAGAAUAUAAGAAAGAUAUAGGAUAGAUGUGCUGCAGGUUUCUUGCAACAGAUAUUUCUGGCAAAAGCUUUCUCUGGCUUUUACAAUGGCCCAAAAUAACAUUUCAUGGCUGUUUCUUUUGUCUUCACAGUCCUUGCUUUUCUCUGCUUGUUACUCUGGGCUUCCCCUCAGCUGUAAGGCUACAGGUUUUCCUGCUACACAACACACAGGGAAACUCAUCAGUUGGGCAGAGUACCAAUUUGGCAUCAACUUGGGGGCUGGUGUCUUCCUUUGUGUUCUCUCCAUUAUUAAAUGACAUCAUCUGACUCUCAAAGUCAGCAAAUGUUUGAGUUUUAGGUCUGUCACGUUGCCAGCAACCGUACAGCGAGCUUGAGGAGCAUCUGGGAGUACAAGAUGAAAGGCUGUCUU